GCUCGAGAAGCUCAGUUGGUCGAGCGGAACAUUGAAGCUGUUUAGGCCGUAAGUUCGAAUCUUACCUUGGGCA
rnacentral:tRNA from 3 species